UACGUAGGGUGCAAGCGUUAAUCGGAAUUACUGGGCGUAAAGCGUGCGCAGGCGGUUUUGUAAGUCAGAUGUGAAAUCCCCGGGCUUAACCUGGGAACUGCGUUUGAAACUACAAGGCUAGAGUGUGACAGAGGGGGGUGGAAUUCCACGUGUAGCAGUGAAAUGCGUAGAGAUGUGGAGGAACACCGAUGGCGAAGGCAGCCCCCUGGGUUAACACUGACGCUCAGGCAUGAAAGCGUGGGGAGCAAACAGG
rnacentral:rRNA from 1 species